UACGAGGGGGGCAAAUGUUGUUCGGAAUCACUGGGCGUAAAGGGAGCGUAGGCGGGUUUUUAAGUCAGGUGUUUAAUCCCGGGGCCCAACCCCGGACCGGCACUUGAACCUGGGAAUCUUGAAUAGGGGAGAGGUCAGUGGAAUUGGAGGUGUAGCGGUGGAAUGCGUAGAGAUCUCCAAGAACACCAGUUGCGAAGGCGGCUGACUGGACCCAUAUUGACGCUGAGGCUCGAAAGCAUGGGGAGCAAACAGG
rnacentral:rRNA from 1 species